rnacentral:rRNA from 1 species
ACGCACGCUGGCGGCGUGCUUCACCCAUGCCAGUCGAACGGAAAGGCCCUGCUUUUGUGGGGUGCUCGAGUGGCGAACGGGUGAGUAACACGUGAGUAACCUGCCCUUGACUUUGGGAUAACUUCAGGAAACUGGGGCUAAUACCGGAUAGGAGCUCCUGCUGCAUGGUGGGGGUUGGAAAGUUUCGGCGGUUGGGGAUGGACUCGCGGCUUAUCAGCUUGUUGGUGGGGUAGUGGCUUACCAAGGCUUUGACGGGUAGCCGGCCUGAGAGGGUGACCGGCCACAUUGGGACUGAGAUACGGCCCAGACUCCUACGGGAGGCAGCAGUGGGGAAUAUUGCACAAUGGGCGGAAGCCUGAUGCAGCAACGCCGCGUGCGGGAUGACGGCCUUCGGGUUGUAAACCGCUUUCGCCUGUGACGAAGCGUGAGUGGCGGUAAUGGGUAAAGAAGCACCGGCUAACUACGUG